rnacentral:rRNA from 1 species
UACAGAGGGGGCAAGCGUUGUUCGGAAUUACUGGGCGUAAAGGGCGCGUAGGCGGCCUUCUAAGUCGAACGUGAAAUCCCAGGGCUCAACCCAGGAACUGCGUCCGAUACUGGAAGGCUUGAAUCCGGGAGAGGGAUGCGGAAUUCCAGGUGUAGCGGUGAAAUGCGUAGAUAUCUGGAGGAACACCGGUGGCGAAGGCGGCAUCCUGGACCGGUAUUGACGCUGAGGCGCGAAAGCCAGGGGAGCAAACGGG